ACGGCGCUGAAUGGCCGCGAUCAGGGCGUGGGCGGUGCCCCAGGGUUUAACGGCGGCGGAUGGUCGGAACGCGGAGGGACCGAGGGGGUCCCGCUGCGGAAUUGGGCGCCCGGUUCCGCAGCUUCCGGGACUUCAAGGAGCGCUUCCGCGCCUACAAGCUGGAGGAUGUGCACUGGGGCAUUAAUGAUGUUGAAGAGAACUGGGCCAAGGAUGGAGCCCUGCAGAACCCCACUAGUGACCAGAUACCAACCUGAUGUCAAUCACUACAAGUGUUUAUGCCUGACCUGUGAACAAGUUGCUCACCCAUCGCAUAAUAUGGUUAUCCAGCUGUGGGCUGGACAUCUUGUCCAGAAGAAUCCUGUGAGAGACAGUAUCAAAAGCUUUGCUGAUGUCCAAAAAGACUACAUCUACUGGCUUUCCUAGGUGAACUAGGUGAGUUACCCUGUUGUUGAAGGGAAUCAGGUUCAACAAGCAGGACUUCCCCCUCCUGAAGUCAUGUUGGCUGUGACCAAUGUCAAAAAUACCUUGUGCUCCAGGUGUUUUUUGAUACCUCCCAGAAUAAUCUUUUCUAUGAUUUUACCAGGUACUGAAGUGAGGCUGACAAUCCUGUAGUUUCUGGGGUCCUCCUUCUUGCCCUUCUUAAAAAUCAUGACAACGUUCACCAGCUUCCAGUCAGCUGAGAUCUCUCCAGAUUUCCAGGACUGCUCAAAAAUCAUCGAGAGAGGCUUUGCAAUGACAUCAGCUAGUUCUUUGAGGAUUCUCAGAUGAAUCCCAUCAGGCCCCAUAAUAACAUGUGACAAAAUUAUUUCAUCUGUGGCCAGCACCCACAGGUCCUUGCAUCAUCCAGCUGUGGGGUGUUGUGCAACAGAGCCAAUAAAUCAGCCUUGUGCUGUUUGGGAGCUGUGUCUGUCCCUGCGCCAGCUGCAGAUGCCCCUCCCUGGCCAGGGGAUGGGGUGCCAGGCAUCAGGCAGUGCUGUUUGGUGGUCGUGUGCCACCGCAGUGCCCUGGGUGGUGGGAAGUGGCAAUCCCACUGUGCUGCAGCCCCACUUCGGAGAAGGGGAGUGGUUUAUCUGGUUUCAGCAGCUGCUCUCAAUUCCUCAAGAAAGAGGAACCCACCCCUGUGUGCAGGGGUCACUGCCGGGCAGAUAACGCUGGGGGAGGUGGGGAGCAAAGGCUACAUGGCUGGGGGAGGGAAAACAGCCCAGAGAGCAAAUGCCUGGCCCAUGGCUGCUGCUCUGGGGUGGGUGAGGUCCCUGGCCCUCUUGCAGCCAGGGCAGCUCCAGCAGCUUUCAGCCUGUUGGUGGGACAUGGCAGGGAAUGUCAGAGACCUCGCUCCCGUUGCAUGGCUUGGUCAUGAUCCAUGUUUUCCCUGAUCAGCGCUCCCUUCAUUAACACUUUGGUGUUGAUGGAGUCGGCCGUCACUGCGGGCUGGGGAUUUCCUUUGAGACAGAGUUUUGUAACAUGAUCUGAUACUAUCGAGUCUCUGACUAAAUAUAGCAUCAUGUUUCCUAAAACA